rnacentral:tRNA from 1 species
GCCUGGGUGGCUCAGUCGGUUGAGCAUCCGACUUCAGGUCAGGUCAUGAUCUGUUUGUGGGUUCGAGCCUCGCAUCAGGCU